rnacentral:ncRNA from 2 species
UCGCUACGGAAGGGCGUCGGUUUCCGUAAGGAAUUGAAAGGGAAUCCGUCACGGGCUUACCCCCGUGAACCGGAACUGCCCCCGCAACUGUAGGCGGCGAGGCCCUGCACAAGACCACUGUGACGCAGGUCAUGGGAAGGUUGCAGCGGCUUGUGACCCGUCAGUCAGGAGACCUGCCGACAGGUGUAACUUUAG